rnacentral:rRNA from 1 species
UACGAGGGGGGCAAGCGUUGUUCGGAAUUAUUGGGCGUAAAGGGUGCGUAGGCGGUUUCGCAAGUCUUGUGUGAAAUCUUCGGGCUCAACCCGAAGUCUGCACAGGAAACUGCGAGGCUUGAGGAUGGGAGAGGUGAGUGGAAUUUCCGGUGUAGCGGUGAAAUGCGUAGAUAUCGGAAGGAACACCUGUGGCGAAAGCGGCUCACUGGACCAUUUCUGACGCUGAUGCACGAAAGCUAGGGGAGCAAACAGG